AGUGUUGUGUUACAAUCAGUGUUGGCCAUUAUUUCAUCCGUGGGCCUGUUGCUCUCUAAGAAUUCAGUACCGUUUUACUAGUUUGUUAACCAUGAAAGGUUUUCAAACAUUACUAAAGUCAGACUAUUAAGUCUAUGCUGUGUGCAGAGUAUACAAGUGUUUCCAGUAACUAUAUUUCCAUGUGUGUCCAUUUCGCACAAUUGUGGAUCUAUUUCUGAAGAUUUCAUAAUGCUAUUUUUUAUGCCUGACAGUUACUUACACACUUUAGAGUAUCUUGAAAUCGGUGAAGGCAGAAUCCAAAUUUCUAAAAUCCCCGGUGUGUGUCCUCAACACGCAGCAUAGAUAAAUCCAACAAUCUGCCACAAGGGCAGUGGGAGAGAUGCUGUAUUUGAGGAAACUCAUACAGUCCCUAAGUGGUUUGCAACACUGCCAAAUGCCAGUCAAUUGCUUGAGCAUGCCCAAUUAUAACAUGAAAGUAAAGUCUACCUGCUCUGUCGAACUGCAUGUUAAAAACAAUUAUAUGAAAUUGAAUGAGACCUAAUUCUUACUGAAACGAAAAUGUCUGAAGAAACAUAGCAUGCAUUAAGCAUGAGUUCUGCACAUAUAUGGUGUCCUGCAUGUAUGCCAUGUAUGUUGCAUAAAUCCAUCGAUUUGUAUUAAUGUAAGGCAGAGUAGGUGUUAUAAGAAUGACUUAAAUGCACAUCCUUUGGCAGUCUUUAAAAAGACCAUGCGAUC
rnacentral:lncRNA from 1 species